AUGCCCACUCCUCUACCAAAGCAUCCCCUCACCACCUUGUUGGGGACUCCUGGCAUUGGAGCCAUGGUCUCUCUGAGGUCUCUUGUCCCCUCAGGGUGCGGUGCCUCUGACUACCUCCCUAUCCUCAGUCCCCUGGGCCUGCCUCUUGGUCACAAAGGAUUCCUCUGUGACCUUUAUCCCUCCAUCUCUCCAAGCUUGACAUUUGUUCCCUACAUCCUAAGGGGAAAUGAAUACCUCAGAGGGAACAUGGAGAACUUUCCAUCCUUUGUGUUCGAAGACACACUGUCCUUCCACUUCUCUGCCACCAGACCACCCUCUCAGCCCUCUGGGGAUAGAAAAGGAGAAGAGGACUCUGGAGUUGAGAGGUAGAAGCACCAUCCAGUGACCCCCUGGAAGGCCGCAAUCAAGAGGGCUCUCUUCUGACUCUGGUUCUGGGUGACCCCAUCUGUGGAUUGCAGGGGAGUCUGCUAAUGUUCUAUUUCAACUCUUACCCUUCUUGCUCCCUUGAGUAAUAGAACCCUGAAUUUAUUUGAGGCAGCAGUGUGCCCAGCUAAACAUUAAUCUCCCAGCCUCCCUUGCAGCUAAGCAUGGCCAUGUGACUAAGUUCUAUCCAAUGAGAUAUGAGCUAAAGAAUUGUAGGUGGAUUCUAGAGAGACUCAUUAAAGAGGAGGGGACCAUUUACCUCUUUUCACUCCUCCUUCCUGUUGUUUGGAAUGAGGUGAUGGUAGCUGAGCUCAAGCAGCCAUCUUGGACUCAGAAAUAACCUGAAGAUGAAAUCUUCCUGGUCGGGCUGGCACAGGCAAAGACAGAAGGACCCUGGGUCCUUGAGGAUCAAGGGCCACUCUUAGCCUGGACUGCCCACCUGCAGACUGAGAGAGGAGAACAUUUUAUCUUCUUUAAGCCUCUAUUUAGAGGUCUUUGUUAUUGUCAGCAAAGGCAAUUUCUAACUGAUGCAUGGAAUCGUCCAAUGCUGAGUUUUGGCUGUGGGUAAACAUGUUCAAAUUUCCUCUAAGGCCACUGCUACUUUUCCUCCUACCGUCUUUGGAAGGGUCAUCUCGCCCAAGAGGGCCCAAUUCUUUCACAUCUUUCCUCUCCUUUUUAGUUGUUUUCCUCUGUCUUCCUCUCUCUUUCUCUCUCUCUUCUUUCUUUCCCUUUUCCUCCUUCCCUCUAACAUUUAUUGACCAUCUGCUACGUUCCAGGUGCCAUGCUAGCUGCCAGGACCAGAAAUAGGUGCAGGAGACACUCCCUCCUCUCCAGCGCCUCAGAGUCCAGGCUGUCAGGAAAAUGUAAAGCAGGUAUGAUGGUGGAUGGACAGGUGCUACGGGAGCAAAGAGAAAGCCACUGAAUCCAAUGGGAAGGGCCUGGGAGGCUUCCAGGAGGACGCAACACUGCCCUGACGUUUGAAGCAUGAGUUUUGAGUUUCUGGUAAUCAGGAAAAGAAGGCAGAGGACAAAGAUUCUAGGAACAAGGACCAGCACAGUGUAGUACAGUGAUUAAAGACUCCAGACCCAGAGAACGGACAUGUCACUUCUCUCUAGCUGUCAGUUUCCUCACCCGUAAAAUGGAACAGUGAUAGUAAUAGGACUAGAUGAAUGCCUGGAAUAGUAAUAUAUGCUACUUAUUAACAUUAUUAUUGUUGGCAAACGUGCUGCUCACUCAUGGUAUGCACAGCCCCAUAUCCGUUUUGGAGAUCAGUUUCACAGAGGCCAGAAGCGACUUGUCUGUGGUCACACAACUGUGAAGAGACACCACUGAAGCCCAAGUGUCCUUAUCCCUAGUCCAGUGGCCUUAAGCCUCUAUCCCCUACCUUUUCAUUAAGUGCUGAGUGAAUGCAAAGGGAGGAGAAAUCAGUGUGCAGUGGGGGAAAGACUUGGAGGGCUUCCUGGAAGAGACGAGUCCUGAGAGAGUGUUGAGGGAAGGGGAGGGCGGAAGCCAUGCCAGGGUAGGCAUGUAUGGUGAGCACAACCAACCAAAGUGUUGGGGGGCUAGCUGGCUGGCAGAGGCUCUAAACUAUGAGGACUGGUGAGACACAAGGUAGGACAGGCAAAGAGGGGUCAGGUCAGAAGAUGAGCCGUGAUUACAGGCACUCUGAUGGCCAGGUGGGGAGUGAGAAUUUGAACUGGUGGGCCACAGUUAGCUCUUGAGCAAGAGGGCUGGUUAUAAUGAAAUGAGACUUUGGGAAGAAAAGAAAGAAACCCGUCUUUACUAAGAGCCAGUAUGGGCCAGACAGUAGGUUGGGCCUUUUCACAUUUAUUAUUUCAUUUGAGCCUCACAAGAACCUCAUUAGGUUGGUACCAAUGUCCCCAUUUUACAGAUGGGGAAACUGAGGCUCAGAGAAACUGAGUGAUAUAGUUGAGCCAGUGGUGGAGCUAAAAGUUUGAUUUAGAUGAGCCUGACCCCAAAUUUGUCCUCUUUCCACUGCACCAUAUGGCUUUAAGUUGUUCUCACUCUCAGAAUGCCCCUUGUGCUGUGAGUGUCCUCACCAGGUGCUGCUGCCCCAUCAGGGGCUCAAGUCUUCACAGCCCAGACACCCCUGGGGGAGAGCUGGGGUCACACUGGGCAGAGAGCGCUCAGUGUCCCUGGGACUUUGGGGAUCCCCAGCAUAGGGUAGGGUGAAGUUCUUGGGCUCUGGGUCUGAUAGAAGUAGGUUCAACCCCCAGCCUUAACUGAAAUUGAACAACGUCCUUAACUUUACCCAGCCUCGACUAAGGCAGAGCAGUGGGAUGAGCCGUGGAUGGGGAGCCAGCUUUGAUGUGGGUUCAAACCCCAGCUAGAAAUGACAGACACCGGAGGAGGUGAAAUGUCUGUAUUCACUUCAAAAUAAUGUGGGCGGGGGAGGGCGGGCAGGGAGCGGUCAGUUGGAGGUGGUAGAGAAGAAACAAGAUUGCCUACGUACGAGUUGGUAACUCUUGAGGCUGGGUGAUGGAUUUACGGAGGUCUAUUAUACCAUUCUCUCUACCUCUGUGUAUGUUUGAAAAUCUCCAUAAUAAAAAGUAAAAUAGAAACA
rnacentral:lncRNA from 1 species